GCCCUUGCGCUCCAGCGCCGGCAUAAAGAGCGGCCGGGCGCGGCGCAAUCGUCGCCUGCGCGUUCACUCUCCCAGUAGCCGCCGAACGGAUCCAGCUGAGCCGAGGAUGGACGCGCAAGACUGUCCCUGCGUGAGCGGUGGUGUCUGCAGCUGCGGCAACAACUGUCAGUGCAAAAAUUGCAAGUGCAAAUCGUGCCGAAAAAGCUGCUGUUCCUGUUGCCCGGUCGGCUGCACCAAAUGUGCUCAGGGCUGCAUCUGCAAAGGGCAACCUGCCACGAAAUGCAGCUGCUGCAAGUGAACUUCCCCUUGCUGCCCAAGCAAUGAUCUGUAUAUUUGACUGCCUGCAAGAAUGUAACCUUAUUGUUCAUUUCUAUCUGUGCCUGUGCAUUUUCUACCAUCUAGAUGUUAAAAAAAAAUAAGGAACUUGAAAAUAAAGUGUGUGUGUGU